rnacentral:rRNA from 1 species
AUUGAACGCUGGCGGAAGGCUUUACACAUGCAAGUCGAGCGGCUGCAGGGGGCUUGCCCCUGUGUCCAGCGGCGGACGGGUGAGUAAUGCCUCGGAAUAUGCCUAGUCGUGGGGGAUAACACCUCGAAAGAGGUGCUAAUACCGCAUACGUCCUGAGGGGGAAAGUGGGGGAUCUUAAGACCUCGCGCUAUCAGAUUGGCCUAGGUCGGAUUAGCUAGUUGGUGGGGUAAAGGCCUACCAAGGCAACGAUCUGUAACUGGUCUGAGAGGAUGAUCAGUCACACUGGAACUGAGACACGGUCCAGACUCCUACGGGAGGCAGCAGUGGGGAAUAUUGGACAAUGGGGGAAAGCCUGAUCCAGCCAUGCCGCGUGAGUGAAGAAGGUCUUCGGAUUGUAAAGCUCUUUAAGUAGGGAGGAAGCGCUGAAAGUUAAUAUAGCUCGGUAUUGACGGUACCAGAAGAAGAAGCACCGGCUAACUUCGUG